rnacentral:rRNA from 1 species
UACGUAGGAUGCGAGCGUUGUCCGGAAUUAUUGGGCGUAAAGAGAACGUAGGCGGUUUGUUAAGUUUGGGCUUAAAGACUGGGGCUCAACCCCAGGAGUGGCUCGAAAACUGACAGACUAGAGGAUGGCAGAGGAAAGUGGAAUUCCCAGUGUAGCGGUGAAAUGCGUAGAGAUGUGGAGGAACACCAAUGGCGAAGGCAGCCUUCUGGGCCAACACUGACGCUCAUGCACGAAAGCGUGGGGAGCAAACAGG